UUAUAGAAAACUUGAAAUUGGGGUACCUUAAUUUUUUUUGGAAAGCAAUACUUUCCUUACCUAUGGUAAUAGGGCAAGGAAAGUAAAAAUACAAGAGAAUAAUUUAUUUGACACAUCUUCAUAUGAAAUCAAGAUUUUCUUUAAGGGUUGACUUUGAAUGAAAUCGAUGUUAUUGUUCAGUCGAUUGUUAUGUAUACAAUUUUUUAUGAUGAUAGUACAUAGAAAACCUGUUUAUUCACGGUAUAAGGCUUUGUAGACAAUUAUAUUUUCUCUUACUUAUUACUAAGUAGCUGAGCUAUAUUUUAUUACUGAUCAGAGCUAUUGAAGGGUUGACCGCUUAUUAACCAAACAACAUGUAGGCUUAUAGGCCUACGGAUUUGGUAGAUUAAAAUUUUAACUGGUGAUUGGCAUAGAACUGGAACUCUUAUUGAAGUUCAUGAUCGAAAUCAACCCAGAAUGGAAUCACUAAUUACAUUAAUUAUUAAUUGAUUGAAGCUUCUGAAAUUGUAUAAUAAUCAUAAUUGAAGGUUAGAGGAUCAGUCAAUAAAUCUUGAUAAUCGGAAGAAGAAAAGGGAGAUAAACUUAAAAAAAACUAAGUAAACUUUUAAAACUGAGACAUUGGUUAUGGAGUGAAUUCAGUGACUGAGAUAAUAAGAGUGUAAAUAACAUUUGAAUAAAGAAUAGACUAGACAUGGAUGAUGAUUAGACAAUUGGCGUAAAAGUGAGUCAUGAGAGAAACAGACUUCUAAGUUUCAGAUUAUAUAUUAUAAUAUUUCAUGCUAUGUUACUAGAUUCCAAAGAAACCUCCAUUCAGUCCAUAUGAAAUAUGUUUUUGUUCAACUCUUCUUUCAUUUUUUAUGUUCAUUCCACCUUUUUGAGGGGCACGUCUUAUUCCUCAAAAAUUGAAAAGAUUGCACCACAUCAGAGAAUAUGACGAAGAAAUGAAGAAGUCACUUGCUGAACUCUUUUCCAAUUGAUAAUUAAUAAUUCCAUUCAAUCCUACCAAGCAAUAGACCUAGUUGCUAUCUGAAUUAAGAUUCUACACCGUGGACUAGCUAAUUAGAAAUGAAAAUUUGCCAAUGAAUAAUUCCCUGAUUUGUGGCAUUGAUAUUCCCCCACUUCACGAAAUACAAAAUUCAAUUGAAAACUGUUGUAAUAGUUACAACAGUUGUAAUAGUUCAGUACGAGUAUACUGAACUACAGAUGAAUUCCUUAAAAGGUAUUUAUACAAUAAAGUGCAUAUUCGAUGAAAAAUUAUACACAUUAUAGAAUGAAACUCAAAUCAUUCAUUAUAUAAUUAUGCAAUAUAAUCGUGAAUUGCAUAAUAUGAAAUGUAUAUUAUGGGUAUAGAGAAAUUUGUCAGAAAUCUGAUUCUAAGCUGAGAAAUGCAAGCAUGUUAAUGAUCACUAUUUUUCAACAAGAUUAAAAUAAAAAAUUGGAAAUAGAUUUUCUGUCUGGUAGCAAACCUUAUCUGUUUCAAAUUACACAAAAAGUCAACCAUUUGUGAGAAUCCCUCUCACAAGCCUCAAGCAGCAAUUAGAUUUUUCUUAAAUGAAGGGCGAACCCUUCAUUUAAGAAAAAUCUAAUCGCUGCUUGGGGGUUGUGAUAAAAUGUUAAAUACGUAAGAUUUUUGAGAACUUUUUAAUAAAAUGUUACAAUUUGACAUACGCUCUACUAAGGUCUAGGAUGUUUUGGUGAAAAUGUUUUCAAAUCCUCCCAAAAUUACGCUAGAGAUUAACGUAACUUUAAUUCAAUUAAAAUAUUAACUGCUUCUUAUAUUUGAUAGAGCUUCUCAAUCAGCGAUCUAUAUAGCAGUCCAUGGAGCAUGUUUCCAGUUUUCUGCUGAAAGAUAGAACAUGCAACAAAAAAUGUUUUGUUUCAUAGUCAGGAAUUUGCACUACCCUAUUCAAUUUUCAAAUAAAAGGGAAGUCAGCUUUAUGUCAGUGAUAUUUUGGGCUGAAACCAGGAAUCCAACACUCGCCCUCUAGCACUCUCCUUCACUCACUCACUCUCUCUCUCUCACACACACACUCACUCACUCACACUCUCUCUCUUUCUUACACACACACACAUACAGUCCCACACAUACACAAACGCACAUGCACCUACUUUCUACUUUCUAUUCUCCAGUCAUCACUAUAUUUCUCCACUACAUGCUAAUGUAUCCAAUGGCCAACUCUAAGGUACGAAGUGGAGAGGGGAUGAUGGUUUGGUUUUGAAUUUCUGAGACAAGACAAGAGUUCUUCCAUUCGAGAAUUUCUGUUUGUUAGUUCACUUUUCACUACGGUUUAAACUUUAAAGUGGAUGACAUAUCGCACAGUGCGCUCCAGUAAUCCAGUGAGAUAGUUAGUUGUAGUGUAUAGGUUUGUUUUAAUUAUUGAGUUUCUAUCUGUUGUUUUUCCUGUUUCCUGUGUUCUUCAUUUUUGUCUUCGUUCCUCUUCGUUACUGUGUCUGCUCCUGAGUCUACAGUGUCAGUGCAGCAAAGAAGCGAGACCAAACAGCAGUAAAAUAACAAGAGCUUGCAUAGAUGAGGAAAUAUCAUCAGAUAAUCUUUACUUCCAUUGAGAGAGAUGGUCAAUUUCCAGUCAGAAUGGGAGGAGAAAAUCGUUUAUAAAGCAUAUGAGGACAGUGGGGAGCGCUAAUAUUGGCCAAUGUGUCAAUAAUAUCUUGAGAAGAUUAAUGAUUGAUGAGCUGGCCAUGAAAUUCUCAUAUACUGGCCGUGCAUCAAACGGGAACACAAAAACUCCAUUUCAUGGGAGUGAGAUAUCGAAAUGCAUACUGAUUGCUGUUCAAACGUUGUUUGGUGACAUUGCAACUGAAGUGAAAUAUGGAUCGUUGUCGUCAUAAUGGCUUCAACAAGCCAGAACAAGGGUGUUGAGAAGGACCAAGAUCAGAGAGACUACGCCUCAUGAAGCUCAAAUCGAGGACGAUAGCAGUUCAAAGUAAAAAUAUAUAAUUAGUUAUAAAUUGAAAGUUCAAUUUUUAUAAUAAUUAAUAAAAAUCAUUGCAUUUUAUUGAAAA